rnacentral:lncRNA from 1 species
CAUCUGGAAGAGAAGUCCAGGUAAGAGCUGCUGAGCACAGAAAAUGGCAUCUAUCUCAUCAUCUAGGAGGAUUCCUGGCCAUAGAAGAAGAAAAUUAAGCCAGAGCUGCAGUGGAACUCCAUCAAGAAAGUCUGGAAGUCAAUGGCCCUUGACCUGGUGAAAGAGGACAUAAAGUCAGUAGUGUUUGCAUUACUCAAAAUUUUGUUUUUCAAAAGGAGCUAGUCAACAAAUGCCCCAUGGACCUCCACCAGCCUCUCCAUUUCAGAUAUCAAAAAGGACAGCAGUGUGCUCCACCAGGAUUUUUUGCAGGCAACACUGGUGGCCCUGAUGCUCUGAAACAACUUCCCGACAUCUACCUCAUGAUGAGUGCCUGAAAAACAAAAGCCUGCAGUGGGAACCAGGAUCCAAAUUUUCAUCCAGGAGAAAACUCUGCAACUCCUGGGCCACUGGAAGCCUAGCCACACUUGGGGAGCACUAAUGUUG